CGUUAUGGCAGCUUGACAGGGCAACCGUAAGGUUGGCUGAGCCUAUAUUCAGUAUUGUCACCCCUGUUUAGCUGCCACCAUC
rnacentral:antisense_RNA from 1 species